rnacentral:lncRNA from 1 species
GAAUCGUACCCUUUCUCCUGCCCAUUGAAACUCAGACUAAAAGCCUGUAAAUAGACAAGUUAGGCUCUGUCCAACUACUGAAAUGGCAGUUAAGGAGAAAAACAACACUGUGUAAGGUAAGCAUGCCUAAAAUGGUCUCAUGUGGUUACUUUGGUCGCUCUUCCAGCAGGUGAUAUUGGAUAAAGUGAGUACAAAAUGAGGGUGGGCGGCUUGAGAGCUGGGAGGAAUGGAAGUGACUUCCUCACUUCUGCCGGAGGGUGUCUUUAAAGUGGGGACAUGUGUGAGGUUGGGGGCAUGGAAGCAUAUUUUCUUCCUGUCUUGAUUAGGUUAUUUGAGUGCAGGGAAGGGGUCAUAUGACUGAGGAGGUCACUUGAAGGGCUAGGGACUGUUUUUAAUUAAUGCAUACUUUUACAGGAAUGUCUUCUCCAAGAAGCAAGUUCAGAAUUUUCAAUAUCCCAUAAAUUAAAGAUCAACACAGCCCUUAGACUUAUCCUUUGAUGGCAGUGUACAUUUCCAUCUUGCUAUUAUAC